rnacentral:rRNA from 1 species
GCAUAUCAAUAAGCGGAGGAAAAGAACUAACAAGGAUUCCCCUAGUAACGGCGAGUGAAGAGGGAAGAGCCCAAGAUUGAAAGCUGGCGUCUUUGGCGUCCGCAUUGUAAUCUCAAGAAGCAUUUUCCGCUUCGGACCAAGCCUAAGUCCCUUGGAAAAGGGCAUCGUAGAGGGUGAGAAUCCCGUACAUGGCUUGGAGCGCCCGAGGCUUUGUGAUAUGCAUUCUAAGAGUCGAGUUGUUUGGGAAUGCAGCUCAAAAUGGGUGGUAAAUGCCAUCUAAGGCUAAAUAUUGGGGAGAGACCGAUAGCGAACAAGUACCGUGAGGGAAAGAUGAAAAGAACUUUGAAAAGAGAGUUAAACAGUACGUGAAAUUGCCAAAAGGGAAGGGUAGGAGGUCAGAGAUGCGGCGUGGAAUUCAGCCUUGCUUUUGCUUGGUCUACUUUCCUCAUUGCAGGCCAACGUCGGUUUUGGGCACUGGAGAAUGGUGGGAGGAAUGUGGCACCCCUCGGGGUGUGUUAUAGCCUCCUACUGGAUACAGCGACCGGGACCGAGGAACGCAGCGUACUCGAAAGAGCGGGCCUUCGGGCACCUUUACGCUUAGGGCGUUGGCAUAAUGGCCCUCUACCACCCGUCUUGAAACACGGACCAAGGAGUCUAACAUGUAUGCGAGUCUUUGGGUGGCAAACCCGUAGGCGCAAUGAAAGUGAAUUCAGAUGGGAUCCGCAAGGUGCACCAUCGACCGAUCCUCACGUCUUUUAAGUCGUGGAUUUGAGUAAGAGCAUGCCUGUUGGGACCCGAAAGAUGGUGAACUAUGCCUGAAUAGGGCGAAGCCAGAGGAAACUCUGGUGGAGGCUCGUAGCGGUUCUGACGUGCAAAUCGAUCGUCAAAUUUGGGUAUAGGGGCGAAAGACUAAUCGAACCAUCUAGUAGC